AGUCUUGUGACAUGCAGGACAGCUGGUUUGAACCCUGUCAGUCACAAGAGCAAGAUUAAAUACGGAGUGGAACAGCUAUGACAAGGCUCUUCAACUGUAUUCUUAUGGGGACCAAAUUGUUUGUUUUUUUGUGACACUAACAACUAGUCUCUUAAAGUCACUUCAUUAACCACCACCUCUUUCAGGGUUUCCCCGGGCUGAUGGGACAAAAGGGGGAGAGGGGGGGCAGAGGAGACAAGGGUGACAGGGGGAUGCUGGGAAAGAAGGGACUGAAGGGACAGAAGGGCGAGCAAGGCCCUCCUGGACUGGACCAGCCCUGUCCUGUGGGUCGGGAUGGAUUACCCAUACCUGGAUGUUGGCAUAAGUGAUGACUGACCCGGGACCUGGGAUCUGUACAUAUCGAUAUAUAUUUUUCAAAUAAAACUCAAGUGUUGUUUUUUGUUGUUGUUGCCAAUUCUAAUUUAAUAUAUUGAGUUUUUCGUAUUGGAAUUUAGAUUGUGGGUCUAUCACAAUCAAUAUUUUGUACUUUUUGCAUAUGAAAAGAAAACUAGUUUUUUUUUAGUUUAGAGAUGACUUACAAGAAGGAUAUCAUGCACACAAAGAGGAGAGACUGGUGACAAACGGAAAACAGCAGCAAAUGCACUCAACACCUACCGGAUGGACAAAUGUUGCUGCUUUUAUCUAUACGGUGAGAAAUAAAUCAUUGAUUCUGACGAACAGGCUCACUAGUGUUCCCAUAUUGGAGUGUACAACUCCACCUGCACCUUGCAAACAAAUCUACCCCAUCACUCCUGUGAAUGCUGUUUGCUUUGAAAGGACCAGUCCUCACGGCAGGGACCCAAUGCCAGGUACCCAUCCCAACCUUAGGAGAGAGGUAUGGGGAGGCACAGAGGAUGGCCCUCACAGUUGAAUAGGAGCCACACAGACUGACUGCGCUGGACAGAGACAGAUGGCUACACCAGCAUGGAGGAAAUAUGGCUUUCACUCUUCAGCUGCAAUCCUAACUGGUACUGGAGGGACUUGAUUCAAACACCAGAUCCCUCACAACAAAUUACAGACACACACUAGCUUAGAUGAAUGGAUUUAUUUCAAGUCCUUCUAAAUCCCUUAGCAGUGUGUUAUCCAUUACAUGCGGUUGUGUGUUUUUGUCAUAAUGUGUGUAAAAACGAAUCAGAUCUGAAAUGAACACGUGUUUUAAUACCAUGAUGUUUGGAUGGCUUUUUAGAUUUAACCUUUGUAGUCGUUUUCUUAAAUGUCUUUCAUGUUUAGAUCAAUAUUGGUUUCAAAUGUUUUAGAAUGUUUAUAAUGGUUUCAUCAAAUGCUUUCUCAUUCCUCUGAGUGCUCUAACCAAUUAAUUGACACAGAACACUGUAAAACUUUGUAGAUAAAUAUAAUGAGAUAUUCUUGUGUGUAGGUUUUGUGGAAAUUCCUUGGAUCUGUCUUAUAUUCAAGUUACAUACAUUUUCAUUUCAUACAUAGCCCCUGAAAAAGUUAGAGCUAUUCAAACAGUCAGAUUUAGAUUUUCAUGUAAAAUGAAUGAUAGCGAGCCUAAAAAGGG
ensembl:lncRNA